rnacentral:lncRNA from 1 species
AAGGUACUCAAUUAAAGGUUGGCACACAAAAGAAUUCCUAAAGAAAAGCACUAGAUUAGAUGACCAAAUAAAAAAACAGCACCACUGGAAAAUGUUGUGGGCCAGAAAACGUGUUUGUUCCCCAAUUUAUGCUGAGCUGUAUUUUUAAAAUUUGACUCUGAAAUUUGAUAUGCAAGAUAUUCAGGAUCUUAUCUAAAAUCUGGC